GAUGAACGCUGGCGGCGUGCCUAAUACAUGCAAGUCGAGCGAACCACUUCGGUGGUGAGCGGCGAACGGGUGAGUAACACGUAGGUGAUCUGCCCAUCAGACGGGGACAGCGAUUGGAAACGAUCGCUAAUACCGGAUAGGACGAAAGUUUAAAGGUGCUUCUGGCACCGCUGAUGGAUGAGCCUGCGGCGCAUUAGCUAGUUGGUAGGGUAAAGGCCUACCAAGGCGACGAUGCGUAGCCGACCUGAGAGGGUGAACGGCCACACUGGGACUGAGACACGGCCCAGACUCCUACGGGAGGCAGCAGUAGGGAAUCUUCGGCAAUGGGCGAAAGCCUGACCGAGCAACGCCGCGUGAAUGAUGAAGGCCUUCGGGUUGUAAAAUUCUGUUAUAAGGGAAGAACGACUUUAGUAGGAAGUGGCUAGAGUGUGACGGUACCUUAUGAGAAAGCCACGGCUAACUACGUGCCAGCCGCCGCAGUAA
rnacentral:rRNA from 1 species